UACGUAGGGCGCAAGCGUUGUCCGGAAUUAUUGGGCGUAAAGAGCUCGUAGGUGGCUUGUCACGUCGGGUGUGAAAGCUUGGGGCUUAACUCCAGGUCUGCAUUCGAUACGGGGCUGGCUAGAGGUAGGUAGGGGAGAACGGAAUUCCUGGUGUAGCGGUGAAAUGCGCAGAUAUCAGGAGGAACACCGGUGGCGAAGGCGGUUCUCUGGGCCUUACCUGACGCUGAGGAGCGAAAGCGUGGGGAGCGAACAGG
rnacentral:rRNA from 1 species